AUUGAACGCUGGCGGCAGGCCUAACACAUGCAAGUCGAGCGCGCGGCGGACGGGUGAGUAAUGUAUGGGGACUGCCCGAUAGAGGGGGAUAACUACUGGAAACGGUGGCUAAUACCGCAUACUAUCGGAUAACCCAUAGGGGAUUAGCUAGUAGGUGGGGUAAAGGGUCACCUAGGCGACGAUCUCUAGCUGGUCUGAGAGGAUGAUCAGCCACACUGGGACUGAGCGAAGGCCCAGACUCCACCGGAGGCAGGAGAGGGGAAUAUUGCACAAUGGGCUCAGGCCUGAUGCAGCCAUGCCGCGUAGAUUAAGAAGGCCUUAGUGUUGUAAAGUACUUUCAGCGGGGAGGCGUUACCCGCAGAAGAAGCACCGGCUAACUCCGUGCCAGCAGCCGCGGUAAUUC
rnacentral:rRNA from 1 species